rnacentral:rRNA from 1 species
UACACUCCUACGGGAGGCAGCAGUGGGGAAUUUUGGACAAUGGGGGCAACCCUGAUCCAGCAAUGCCGCGUGAGUGAAGAAGGCCUUCGGGUUGUAAAGCUCUUUUGUCAGGGAAGAAACGGUGGUGGCGAAUAACUACUACUAAUGACGGUACCUGAAGAAUAAGCACCGGCUAACUACGUGCCAGCAGCCGCGGUAAUACGUAGGGUGCAAGCGUUAAUCGGAAUUACUGGGCGUAAAGCGUGCGCAGGCGGUUGUGUAAGUCAGAUGUGAAAUCCCCGGGCUCAACCUGGGAAUUGCAUUUGAGACUGCACGGCUAGAGUGUGUCAGAGGGGGGUAGAAUUCCACGUGUAGCAGUGAAAUGCGUAGAUAUGUGGAGGAAUACCGAUGGCGAAGGCAGCCCCCUGGGAUAACACUGACGCUCAUGCACGAAAGCGUGGGGAGCAAACAGGAUUAGAUACCCUGGUAGUCCCAUG